CCAUUCUAACGCGACCACCAUUCUUGCCAACCGACGAUCUCGCCUCUGUCUCUCUUGCCAAAUCCUUCUUUAUCUUCACUUUUUCGGCUCUCUUUACCGCUCUCGCGAAUUUCCUUUCACUUUCUCGGUUAUCUCUCUCUCUCUCCCCAUUUUUGGGAACCAAGUAGAUGGACGAUUGAAGCUUAUUUACAUCCUCGAUUCGGCCCUUCUCUGUAGCUCCGGUCUAGUCCCCUUAUUGGCCUCUCUUUUUGGCUCCAUACCACAAAGCCAUAGAGAGAGCCUCGUGUGUUAAGGGGUCGCACAUGCGGUAAAAAGGAUAAGUGGGAUGUGAUUGUUGGAAGCGGGAUGGUCAGAGAUGACGCGAGACGGGUAUGUGGUUCCGGCAGAUCCACAGGCAGUGGUUGCUGUGAAGAAUAAGGUGCAGUCAUCGCGGAGUUGGAUCCUCUUGGACUGUACAGGGCAGAGCACCGUCCUCGAUGUUGACAAGUAUGCCAUCAUGCACCGCGUUCAGAUCCACGCCCGUGAUCUCCGCAUCCUCGACCCCCUCUUGUCCUACCCUUCUACUAUACUGGGUCGUGAAAGGGCCAUUGUCUUGAACUUGGAGCAUCUCAAGGCGAUCAUUACUGCCGAAGAGGU